GGGUGGGUUGAGGAGAGUUCUGGUAGUGUGGAUGGGGUGGAUUCCUAUAAGUCACAUCUGCAUAACCUGAUUUUUGUUGCACCGAGGGAACCACUAGUUGUGGUUUUCAUGAGAAAUUCGGAUGGUUCCUCCAUCAUGGGUUGUACGUACUAGAAUAGGGGUUGCUCGUACUAGAAUAGAGAUUGUUUCUUGGUCUAUGAGUAGUUUGGGCUUGAUGGACUUGCUCUUGUACAUAUUCAAAAAACUAUAGUAUAG
rnacentral:lncRNA from 1 species